GGCUAUAACAUUAGCUCAACUAAACCAUUUUACAUAUAGUAGGGGAAAGAACCUAUUCUUGUUCACCAUUAGAGUUUUCUCAAGGUCACGCGAUGCUUAUCAUUUCAUUUGUUUUGUUAAUCAUUUCAUCUACAUUACUAGAGAUAUGCUAAAACAAAAGCAUCAAGUUGAGCUUAGUCUUUUCUUGAAGGUAUCAUAUGGUUCCAUCCCAUUUCUGACGAUAGAUUACCCAUAAAACAAUACUUGCGCCCACUUUGAAGCCUCACACCCUAAAAUCACAUUCACAUUCACAUAGCGAAUGUGACAAAGGAUUGGUUGCCAUCACAUGCUCGAACGUGUUGCCGGUGGUCGACGAUUUGGUGGUGAUUCAGAUUGAUGCUGUGGAAUCGGUGUCCACAACACUGGGAGAGCAAAGGUGGUUAUAGGCACGGCAGCGGAGCUGGCAGGUCUCGAAGCAAGGGCUGAGGUUGUCACGAUGGUGUCAGCCUUGGCGACUGUGUCGACAGCCUAGGAGAGCCCCCCGACAAAGGUAGGAAACCCUAACUCAAAUCUAGGGGUUUAGACCGAAUCAGGUUGUGGUAGUGUGUUAGGCCUAGGGACUUUUAAUGGGCUGAGAAACUGUCACACCCCAAUUUUCAAAAUGAAAUUUUCAAAAAUUUUGGCAUAAUAUCCCUUAAAAUAAUAUAAUCCCAAAAUUUGUUUCAACAAAAUUUCAAUGAAACUAAACUCAAUGCGGAAAGUAAAAUUUACACACAACUCCAUAUUGAGUUAAAUAUUACAUUUCCUUGUUUACAUAAACUCGAGAGUCAAGAAAAUGAGACGCUCACAUGAGUUUAAUAUUGUUUAUCCCAAUGUAUAUAUAAAAAUAAAUAUAUACAAUGAACAACCAAAACCCAACAAAAAACCCUGCCACUAAGCCUCCACCUCAACCCUGCUGAUCCUCACCUGCAGGGCUAACCCCUACACCAAGAAUUGGUGUACCGGGUUGUAAACAACAAACUCGGUAAGAUAAAAAGCUCGUAUGAGUAAACUCAAAAAUAACACAACAUUUAUCACAUCCAAUAUUUCACAAGAGAGAUUGGAUCCAUAAUUAAAGAAAAACACACAUCCAACACAUUACCCAAGAAAAGUACCCAUGAGUCCCAGAUACUUAAUAAAAUACCCCUCAUGACCUACAACAACACUAUGUGUACCCAUGGGUCCCAGAUACCAUACAGUAUCUCCUAUGACCUACACUGACAGACGGACUAGAGCUCUAUUCCUAACCGUAACCAAUCACCCAGCCAAAGGCUUGGAACCCGGUUUGACUGUCUAAUAUCAAACACAAAAAUAAUAAAUAGCAACUUAACCGCAACCAAUCACCCAAUUAAGGACUUGGAACCCGGUUUGGCUAUUUAUCAAAAAAUCAGAAUAUCACAACAUUAACCUCAACAACACAAUAUCACAUCAUUAUUCUCAACCACACAAUAUCACAUCAUUAAUUCUAUCCUUUCACAUGGAAAUAUUUACCUGAACAAAAUAUAGAUAUUCCACAAGAAUAAUCUAUAAAUAAUCAAUAAACUCAUGAUCACAUGAAUCUCAAAAUAGCACAUAAAGAAAAUUUGUUUUACCUUACCUUUGAGCCGUUGGCGAUCAAGCUCAUAUAUUUUUAAAAACAAUUAAAAGCAUAAUAUUAAAUCCAACAUCAUCAUCAUUAUCAUCAUCACAUGACCAUAAUUAAAUUUGGUUCAAAAGUGAACCUUGGUAAGAUUUACUCACCUAGAAAUCCUGCUGCAAAACCCCCAACACAACGAAGGCAAGCCAAUCACAAAAUCACAAAUCACCUAAAAUCACACAAUUAAAAACCUUAGAAACCAAGGUAUUAAAGGAUAACACAUUACCCUUAAACUAACCCUUAGCUCAAGGGAUGACAACUUCCCAAAGUCGUUGAACUCAACGACACAAUAGAGCUGCCUCAACUCUUCAAAACCUAAACUCUAACCCAACCAAACCAACACCAAUAAACUUAAGUCCUAGCAUGCCAACAUUUCUUAAAAACUAGCCACACUACCACUCAACAAACUCACAGCAGUAAGGAUUACCUAACCACAGGAAACUAGGGCAGCAACUCAGCCGGACGCGCUGCCACGCGCCGCCACAGGCGAUGACGAGUGGGCCCCACGCGCCACCCUAAACUUCCAAAUUUGAAAAAACUCCCAACAGCAAAGUUGAAGCUUGAAGCAAGGGGAACAACUUUCAUACCUGAGACUUCGACCAAUUUUGGCCGGAACCGGCGGGAAACCGUCCCAAACCGUGACCAGAAAAUCAAUUCCAAAACCUGCAAAAUCGGCCUCAAAACCUCAAAAACUUGCUUCAAUCUAUGCCUAGACACUACUAGGAGGAAGAGGGGAUCAAGACUCACCUAAGGACGCCCUUCGUCGCCGCCGUAUACGGCGGUUCCGACCGGUGGCACAGCGGCCUUUUUUCCGGCAACACAGCUCCGGUUCCGGCGUGCCACACCGAGCAGCAGCUGCCCAGCCUUGAAGAGAGCACUUGUGGGAGUCGAACGGGACCGGUGGCGUCCGGUUUGGUGGCCGGAUGAGGGAGAACUCGGCCGGAGAAAGUGAGAGUUCGGGGGGAGCUCGGGAGAGGAAGAGAGAGAAGAGAGAGAAGAGAGAGAAGAGAGAAAAUAGAGGGAAGAGAGAAAACAGAGGCUGACUUUGUUUUUAGGGUUCCCAAAAACAUCCCACACACAUUUUUCUACUUAUACUCUUUUCAAAACCCGGAAACAAACUUCCUCUGAACAUAACUUCUUCAUACGACAUCCGUUUCAGGCGUGCCGGAUGUCUACGAACUCGUAUCGACAAACUCUACAACUUUCAUGAAGGAAGUUUUCGAAGAUAACUUAUGAAACAUAAAGUCAACUUUUGGCCUCUCAAAAGUCAAAGCACUUUAAAUAAACUCCCGAAACUUCAACUUCACAUAACCCCAAGAAUUUCCAUAAAUAAUCCUUUAUUAAAAAAAGGGAAUAAUAUAAAGAAAAUUGAUAUGAAAAUCUAGGAUAUUACAGAAACACUUUUGGGCUUAAGUUGGUGGGUGGGAAUAAUUCUGGGUUGUUUGGGACUUAUGAGGUUGUUGGGCCUAGCCUUUUGGAUCCAAUUGCAUCUCCUAAAUGUGGGGGAGCUUGUCGGAAACACGACAUUGAGGAUAGAGAGUUUGAAAGAGGUCCAAACCUAGCUUGGAAUUGGUGCCAAUGGUUUCAAUAAUGAACACUAGUGGAGGUCCCAAUCACAGAUAGGAAGGUGCCUACGAAGAGGGGACGUCCUCUUGGGUAUCUGAAAAGCUAAAGCUGGUAAAAGAGGUUUAGGAGGUUUCCCUACCCGGGGAUGGUGAAGCCGGUGGGGAGUAGUCCCAUUUUUAGAAUGGCACGAAUCCGUACAUCAUCAAGUUGAAGAGUUUACCCACCCACCCACCCACCCACCCACCCCCCACUUUUUGUUGGAAGUGUGUAUCGAAAUGAUCUUUAGGCUUCCAUUCAUUAAGCUGGGGUACUUUAAAUUGGGGAUGUCAGUUAUUUUCUUUCUUGAUUCGAUUAAGUUCACACUACCAGAAGAAAGACUUUAGCAGACGAAAAAAAAAACCAGGCUGACGAAUCAAUUUUUCGUCGGCUAAUUUAUAUUUUCGUCGGCUAUAGUUAACUUUAGCCGACGAAAUUUCGUCGGUUAAAUAAUUUAUUUCGUCGGCUAAAGUCUGUGACUUUAGCCAACGACUUUAAACAUUAUUUCGUCGGCAAAAGUUCACUAUAGCUGACGAAAAUAAAUUUCGUCGGCUAAAGUUCUUUAUAUUCGCAGAUCUGGACAGUAGCUCAUCUGAGAAGAAAAACGGGAGAAAAAGUUUGGGUGUUGUUAAAAUCUGUCCAUAAUUAAGAAGUGGAGCUAUAUAUAGGUACGUACAUGUGUAUAUAUGUUGAUUUUGAGUUUUAUUUGAGUUGAUCGAUUUUGAGUGUGAUUGAAUUGAUAGAUUUUGAGUACGUUGGAUGUAUAUAUAUAUAUAUAUAUAUGUGUGUGUGUGUUGAUCGAUUUGGUUGAUGAUUUGAUAAUAUGUAUAAAGUUGUUGUCAAUAAGUAGUAGAUAUAUAUAUAUAUAUAUAUAUAUAUAUAUGUUUAUAUAUGUUAAUUAAUUUAUAAUAUUGUGUUGAUGGUAUGAAGUUGUUGAUGAUGAUUUUGUGAUGAUGUUGAUAUAUAUAAUAUUGUUAUGUAAUUAUUAAUUAAGUAUAUCUAUAUAUAUAUGUGUUAAUUAAUUUGUUAUCAAUUAGUUGUAGUAUGUAAAAUAUAUAUAAAUGAAUUGAAAUUUUAUAUAUGGCAUAGAAUUUAAUUAAUAAUUAGCUAGCGUUAUACAUAUAUAUUUUGUUAUAUUUUCAUGAUAUAGAUAAGAGUUGGAUUUUGCUUCCAAAAUGGGACAAAAGAUAUGGUAAAGGAAUUAUGAGUUUUCUGGAAUAUGCACUGGCUAAUGUUAACGGGAAUACAAUUUUCUAUUGCCCGUGCACGAAAUGUCAGUGUUGCAACGAUAUGCAUCGAUUUGCGAUUGACAAAGUAUGGCAGCACCUGAAGAGUAACGGGUUUUAGAAGAAGUACACAUGUUGGUUAUAUCACGGUGAAACAUCAUCUGGGGGUCCGCAUGAUCAUGGCCAAUUUUCUGAGACGGGCAGUACAUCCAACGAUCCAACAACGGUCUUCAUCAACGACAUGUUUCCUUAUGAGAGGUGUAUGCGCUCAAGGACAGUAUAUGCCUGACCCGGUGCAGCCCUUCCCUAAAGCUGUCAACACUGCUGGUAUUGACAAGUACAACAAACUGCUUGCUUUCCAACAGACCCCUGUGUACCCCGGUUGUCAUAAGACCGUUCUUGAAAGUGUGAUGGACGUAAUGAAGAUUAAAGUUGAGACAAAAUCGACUGUGAAAGCUGUUAAUGAUUAUCUACAGUACACUGCUUCGAUGCUGCCCCACGGUCAUCGUCUUCCUACCACUCAUCAUAAGGUCCGAUGUAUCCUGAAAGAUCUUGGGCUUUCCUACAUCAAGAUCCAUGCAUGCAGAUAUGACUGCGUUCUCUUCUGGGGUAAAGAUCUAGAAGGGAAUGACCUUGGUGGCCUUAACGCAUGUCCGGUAUGUCACACUGACAGGUAUAAGCUGACUCCUGCAGGUAACAGGAAAUCUGUGAAGGUACUUCAGUAUUUCCCUUUGAGGGAUAGGUUGGAGCGGUUGUACAUGUCUUCACACACGGCCGAAGCUAUGAGAUGGCACGCUGAUAGGGAAUUGCAUGACGAAGAUACCCUUAUACACCCUGCUGACGGGGAGGCUUGGAAGCAUAUAGACAGAGAGUUUCCUCAUUUUGCGUCAGAGGUCCGAAAUGUGAGGCUCGGGCUCUCAUCCGACGGGUUCAACCCUUUUGGCAACAUGAGUCUUCAAUACAGUGUAUGGCCGGUGAUUUUGGUACCGUACAACCUUCCUCCAUGGAUAUGCAUGAAGAAUGAAUACAAUAUGUUGAGUUUGUUGAUUCCAGGGCCCGGUUAUCCAGGGAAGUGUCUCGAUGUGUAUUUGAGACCUUUGAUUGAAGAGCUUAAAUUUUUGUGGGACGUUGGUCAUCCCACUUAUGACAAGUACAUGCACGAGAUGUUCCAGAUGCAUGUCAUGGUUGUUGGUACCAUCAGUGAUUUUCCUGCCCGUGGGAUGUUGUCGGGCAACGUUGUUAGGGGAUACAAGGCUUGUCCAGAGUGCCUUAGCGAUGAGGGGAGCAGCAGUCAUUGCAACAAGAUAUGCAGAUUGGGUCACCGUGCUUUCCUUCCAUAUAAUCAUGAAUGGCGGUUCGAUGAAAAGGCAUUUGAUGGGACUGUAGAACACGGUGUGGCUCCCAGAAGAUGGACGGGGGAAGAAAUUUUAGCAGUGCUUAAUGAGUACGAUUUUAGGCAGCUCAGCAAUCAUCCCAACAUUGUGGCGGCAAUACCUGAAAGACCCGACAGGUACAAAUUCUGGACACAUAAGAGCAUAUCUAGGAACUCCCAUACUGGAGUAAGUUGUUGAUCAGGCACUACCUAGAUGUGAUGNNNNNNNNNNNNNNNNNNNNGAUAAUGUCAAGAGUUUAUCCGAUGUGCAAGGUGAAUGGCGUGCAAUUUAUAUGCGAACAGAGAGACAGCAGAAGGAGAACACAGAAUUCUGAGGUCAUGGCACAUGGUGGGCAGAAUGGAGUUGACUAUUACGGUGUUUUCCAUUCAGUGGUGGAACUCGUUUAUGGGCAAGGCAUGACAGUGCACCUCUUCAAGUGUAGAUUGUUUGAUACUAGGCCGCAGAGCAUGAAGACCGAUCAGAAGGAAAUAUUAUCAGUGAACACUGCUACAAGUUCUUACGAAGAUGACCCGUUCGUUUUUGCCACAUCGGUAAAACAAGUGUUUUAUCUUGAUGACCUUGCUAAGGGUGACGCGUGGAAAGUAGUCAACCUUGUGCACCCUCGAAACAUUUACCGGGCGGCUACACUUGGAGAGGCCGAAGACGAGAAAGAGGAUGUUGCGUAUCAAGAGCCCAACGCAAUAGGUAUUCCUAACUCCUCUACCGUUCGCCUUAAUAAUUUUAAAGGGGGUCGUUUUGGUGCGAAUUCGUGAUGAAGAGCCAAGGCUUAUUGAUGUUGAUCCAAAUCAAGAAACAGACAAAGACUCUGGCGAUGAGGAAAGACAUAUAUUACCAGAAAUUAAUUCUGACACCAAAGAAGACUCAUCGGAUGAUUCCGAUUACGAGCCUUAGUUUUAAUUUAGAGGACGUAAUCCAUUAAUUUGUAUAACUAAAGAUCUUUUCCUUUAUACUUUACAUAUGUUGAAUUCAUAUUUCAGUUAUUUUAUAUGAAUUUUGGUGAUAUAUGAUGAACAGGAAGUUAGUAUGGUUUACUAAUAUCGUAUGUUUUUUUUAUGUAUUUUUUUCCUUAAGCCGACGAAAUACACUAUAAUUCGUCGGCUAAGACCAUUUUAGCCGACGAAAUAUAGUAUAUUUGUCGGCUAAGAUGGUUUUAGCCGACGAAUAACCUAAUAUUUCGUCGGCUUUAGUUAUUUUUUAAUUUUUUAAUUACAUACUAUAGCCGACGAAUACGUUAGGGUAUUCGUCGGCUAAACCCUAAAAUUUUUCUAUUACAUACUAUAGCCCUAUCUUCGGUGGUUAUUUUCCGUAAAAUUUUUAGACGACUUCUUGCGUCUCAUUGGUUUGAAACUAUUUUCAGUUGGAGGUCCGGCCAAAAUACGUAAUUUAGACGGUCGAACGAUCUUUUCCGUGCGUUUAGGGGUUUGACUUACGAGAUUGAUCGUCCGGAUCGAGCCCUUAUUCUUGUCGGAUCAAGUUGAAUUUUUUCCCAUACAUGUAUUUUGUCAUGCGGGUCAGAUCUGACGGUCGGAUUUCUGUUUCUCAAGUUUGAUCAUCACAAUCACAACAUGUCUACUAAUGUUGUAUAAUUUGUUUACCAAGUGUUAUGUAAAUGUUCCGUUUCAAAAACAAACUAUACGUAAAACCUUCAAACGCCAAAAUGUCGUGAAAUAAGAUAUGACGAGAAUGUUGAAAUACAUCCACGGUUGAAAAAUCACACUAUUCCGGUAAAUAUUCGGGGCCGAUAGUUGCGGUCAAUGCAAUUUUUCAUUCUUUCCCCCUAUGAGUAGCCAUAUAUUCGGUGGUUAUUUUGCGUAAAAUUUUUAUACAACUUGUUGCGUGUCAUCGAUUUAAAACUAUUUUCAGUUGAAGGUCCGGCCAAAAUACGUAAUUUAGACGGUCAAACGACCUUUUCCGUGCGUUUAGGGGUUUGACUUACGAGAUUGACCAUCCGGAUCGAGCCCUUAUUCUUGUCGGAUCAAGUUGAAUUUUUGGCCAUACAUGUAUUUUGUCAUGGUGGUCAGAUCUAACGGUCGGAUUUCUGUUUCUCAAGUUUGAUCAUCACAAUCACAAUGUGCCAAAUGUAUAAAAAUACUUUAGCCGACGAAUUUCAAAGGUUAGCCGACGAAUUUCAAAGGUUUAGCCGACAAAUUUCAAAGUUUUAGCCGACGAAUUUAGAAGGUUUAGCCGACGAAUUGAUUCUUAACCGAUGAGAUUCUUAGCUUUAGCCGACGAAAUACCCUAGCCUCCUCUUCCGCCUCCUCCGCCUCCUCCCUCCUCCCUCCCUCCCUCUCCCAGUCUCAGCCUCCUCCCUCCUCCCUCUCCANNNN
rnacentral:lncRNA from 1 species